rnacentral:miRNA from 1 species
AGUUCAAGAGAUUGUGGUCACUCA